AGCGUUGAAACACCGGUCCCCACGUACGAUCACCGAAGUUAAGCAACGUCGAGCCUAGUCAGUAUCUAGAUGGGUGACCGCGUGGAAAUACCGGGUUCUGUAAG